GAGUUCCUGCGAUUUCAACCAGAGCCAAGAAGGGCUCUCAAGCUCAAGCCCUAGUAUUGCUAAAUUGGCCAAAUUGAAAGGCCAAAUCAAACCCAAAUCGAAAUCCAAGCGCAAAUUAGUGAUCACCUCAGUAAAGGGAUCAUAAGACAAAGGAGUUGAGUCUUCAAGCGGACAAACCGGAGUGGACAUGCGCUUGAAGGGAACGCUUUAAAGGUGAAGUUGCUCUUGCUCCGGAUGGUGAUCAAGCAUGAAUCUAAGAACCGAACACACCUCUCAAUGAAGCUUCCGCAAUUAUUAUGUUUUGUUUAAAAAAAAGAUUAUGUAAACACACUCAACUAUGUUUUGGGAUGUUGUAAACAUGUUUUAAAUACUUAUAAUGUAAGUGUUUUUGUUAAGUGGCA